GGAGGCAGCAGUGGGGAAUAUUGCACAAUGGGCGCAAGCCUGAUGCAGCCAUGCCGCGUGUAUGAAGAAGGCCUUCGGGUUGUAAAGUACUUUCAGCAGUGAGGAAGGUGGGAGUGUUAAUAGCACAAUUAUUUGACGUUAGCUGCAGAAGAAGCACCGGCUAACUCCGUGCCAGCAGCCGCGGUAAUACGGAGGGUGCGAGCGUUAAUCGGAAUUACUGGGCGUAAAGCGCAUGCAGGUGGAUGAUUAAGUCAGAUGUGAAAGCCCGGGGCUCAACCUCGGAAUAGCAUUUGAAACUGGUCAUCUAGAGUACUGUAGAGGGGGGUAGAAUUUCAGGUGUAGCGGUGAAAUGCGUAGAGAUCUGAAGGAAUACCGGUGGCGAAGGCGGCCCCCUGGACAGAUACUGACACUCAGAUGCGAAAGCGUGGGGAGCAAACAGGAUUAGAUACCCUGGUAGUCCACGCCGUAAACGAUGUCUACUUGGAGGUUGUGGCCUUGAGCCGUGGCUUUCGGAGCUAACGCGUUAAGUAGACCGCCUGGGGAGUACGGUCGCAAGAUUAAAACUCAAAUGAAUUGACGGGGGCCCGCACAAGCGGUGGAGCAUGUGGUUUAAUUCGAUGCAACGCGAAGAACCUUACCUACUCUUGACAUCCAGAGAACUUCCAGAGAUG
rnacentral:rRNA from 1 species